UGGUGGAUCAGUGGCGAACGGGUGAGUAACACGUGAGCAACCUGCCCUGGACUCUGGGAUAAGCGCUGGAAACGGCGUCUAAUACUGGAUAUGAGACGUGAUCGCAUGGUCGUGUUUGGAAAGAUUUUUCGGUCUGGGAUGGGCUCGCGGCCUAUCAGCUUGUUGGUGAGGUAAUGGCUCACCAAGGCGUCGACGGGUAGCCGGCCUGAGAGGGUGACCGGCCACACUGGGACUGAGACACGGCCCAGACUCCUACGGGAGGCAGCAGUGGGGAAUAUUGCACAAUGGGCGGAAGCCUGAUGCAGCAACGCCGCGUGAGGGAUGACGGCCUUCGGGUUGUAAACCUCUUUUAGCAGGGAAGAAGCGAAAGUGACGGUACCUGCAGAAAAAGCGCCGGCUAACUACGUGCCAGCAGCCGCGGUAAUACGUAGGGCGCAAGCGUUAUCCGGAAUUAUUGGGCGUAAAGAGCUCGUAGGCGGUUUGUCGCGUCUGCUGUGAAAUCCCGAGGCUCAACCUCGGGCCUGCAGUGGGUACGGGCAGACUAGAGUGCGGUAGGGGAGAUUGGAAUUCCUGGUGUAGCGGUGGAAUGCGCAGAUAUCAGGAGGAACACCGAUGGCGAAGGCAGAUCUCUGGGCCGUAACUGACGCUGAGGAGCGAAAGGGUGGGGAGCAAACAGGCUUAGAUACCCUGGUAGUCCACCCCGUAAACGUUGGGAACUAGUUGUGGGGACCAUUCCACGGUUUCCGUGACGCAGCUAACGCAUUAAGUUCCCCGCCUGGGGAGUACGGCCGCAAGGCUAAAACUCAAAGGAAUUGACGGGGACCCGCACAAGCGGCGGAGCAUGCGGAUUAAUUCGAUGCAACGCGAAGAACCUUACCAAGGCUUGACAUAUACGAGAACGGGCCAGAAAUGGUCAACUCUUUGGACACUCGUAAACAGGUGGUGCAUGGUUGUCGUCAGCUCGUGUCGUGAGAUGUUGGGUUAAGUCCCGCAACGAGCGCAACCCUCGUUCUAUGUUGCCAGCACGUAAUGGUGGGAACUCAUGGGAUACUGCCGGGGUCAACUCGGAGGAAGGUGGGGAUGACGUCAAAUCAUCAUGCCCCUUAUGUCUUGGGCUUCACGCAUGCUACAAUGGCCGGUACAAAGGGCUGCAAUACCGUGAGGUGGAGCGAAUCCCAAAAAGCCGGUCCCAGUUCGGAUUGAGGUCUGCAACUCGACCUCAUGAAGUCGGAGUCGCUAGUAAUCGCAGAUCAGCAACGCUGCGGUGAAUACGUUCCCGGGUCUUGUACACACCGCCCGUCAAGUCAUGAAAGUCGGUAACACCUGAAGC
rnacentral:rRNA from 1 species